UUUGAUCCGGAGAUUUCUGAAUGGGGAAACCCACCCUUCGGGGUAUCGCAUGAUGAAUACAUAGUCAUGCGAGGCGAACCGGGUGAACUGAAACAUCUCAGUAGCUCGAGGAAAAGACAUCAACCGAGAUUCCGAAAGUAGUGGCGAGCGAAAUCGGAACAGCCGGCACGUUUUAGCAUCGAGAUUAUCAGAACAGUCUGGAAAGGCUGGCCAUAGCGGGUGAUAGCCCCGUAUGAGAAAAUUUUGGUGUGGAACUGGGCGUGCGACAAGUAGGGCGGGACACGUGAAAUCCUGUCUGAAUAUGGGGGGACCAUCCUCCAAGGCUAAAUACUCGUAAUCGACCGAUAGUGAACCAGUACCGUGAGGGAAAGGCGAAAAGAACCCCGGGAGGGGAGUGAAAUAGAUCCUGAAACCGCAUGCAUACAAAAAGUCGGAGCCUGGAAACGGGUGACGGCGUACCUUUUGUAUAAUGGGUCAGCGACUUACAUUCAGUGGCAAGGUUAACCAUAUAGGGAAGCCGUAGAGAAAUCGAGUCCGAACAGGGCGACAGUCGCUGGGUGUAGACCCGAAACCAAGUGAUCUAUCCAUGGCCAGGAUGAAGGUAGGGUAACACCUGCUGGAGGUCCGAACCGACUAGUGUUGCAAAACUAGCGGAUGAGCUGUGGAUAGGGGUGAAAGGCCAAUCAAACUUCGUGAUAGCUGGUUCUCCCCGAAAUGCAUUUAGGUGCAGCGUUGCGUGUUUCUUGCCGGAGGUAGAGCUACUGGAUGGCCGAUGGGCCCUACAAGGUUACUGACGUCAGCCAAACUCCGAAUGCCGGUAAGUGAGAGCGCAGCAGUGAGACUGUGGGGGAUAAGCUUCAUAGUCGAGAGGGAAACAACCCAGACCACCAACUAAGGUCCCUAAGCGCGUGCUAAGUGGGAAAGGAUGUGGAGUUGCUUAGACAACCAGGAGGUUGGCUUAGAAGCAGCCACCCU
rnacentral:rRNA from 1 species